UGAAGAAUUUGAUGUGCUUUUAAUUAGACACGAAGUGAAACCAAGAAGAAAUGAAGCAAAAUUAAGAACGAACAAGAAAAGAGGCAAUAAAAGGAAGUCCACGGUUUAGCCGGCUAGAAAAAAGACUACACUAGCUUGACUGCUGGCUGCAACUAGAUUCUUCAAGCUUGCAGAAACCAGCCAGAGUCGGCGUCGGUACCAGUUUUGCUCAUCAUCAUCGGCUUCCCGGCCAGUUUCUAUGGCGGUUAAGGUUUCUUCCUAGCGUUUUCCUCAAAAUUUCUCCUAAUUUUGGUGAAAUUGAAAUUUUUACACAGUAUCUAUAGCAACUUUGAAAUGAAUUGUGAACCAUAUCUUGAGAAUAUUUAUUUAAACCUACUUUUGGCCAGUAGAUGAAACCUAUGAUUUACCAUUACAUAGAGAGAAUUCUAACCUGCAUAUGAGAUACAUGUUAACUCUGUAAUCUAUUUAAACCCUUAUAAGAAGUUAUGAUCAUGUAUGAAUUUCUGACCUAUAAACGUGAACUUGUCUUCAAUUUUUUUCAACUAGAUAUCAUCAACAGCUUGUCAUUUUUGCUUCUUACAAACUUAAUAGAAUUUCCAAGCUCUCGAUAUGAUGCCUGGUUGUUUGUGUGGCAAUUACUUACAUUUUCCUCUGUUCAUUUGUAGUCGCCUUAACCAAAAUUUGCUUGGCAAGUUUCCCUUGAUUCCAAAAUCAUGGAGUCUUCCCCUUCUUCCACUAUUUCCAUUUAUUACUAAAAGUUUUUUUUUUUUUUGUCGUAACGGCAUAUCUAGCAUAAUCUAAUCCACUUCUACUCUUGGGGGGAACCUAUUCUACGGGGUGGCUCAACUGAGUUGGGGAAACCUGACGGAGACUGAACUAUUAUCAGACCAGACGGGUGCAUCACACACCCGUAUAGAAUUAGAACAAACCUCAUAUUGAGACACAUUGAUGGGAGGCAAGAUUUGAACCCUUGACUACCCACCCCACAAUUAAUGUGGUGGCCAACUCCUCUAGAGGGAGUUGGUUUUAGGUCAAUUUAUUACUAAAAGUUUGUUUUAGGCCAAUUUGCAGCAUCUAUACUAUCCUAAUCUAUAAAGAAGGAAAAUCUAAUUGAGUUGUAUAGGGAUUAUAUAGAAGACAGACCAAUCUAGACCAAAAAGGUAAUCUGGCACAUCCUUUAAAUUUUUUAACUAAAAGGGUGCGAAGCUUGAACCUCCAAUCUACGACCCAAAAUGGGAUUUUUAAUCCAAAUUGACGUAUACCAAGCUGCCUGCGGCACCUGUUGCAAAAUCAGCCAUAUCUAUCCUUCCUACCAUUAGUUACGUAAAAAGGUUCAGGUAGACAGAUUCCAUGUUUAAACAGUAAAGCAAACAGAUGUGAUAAUGAAUAUGUUGUGCUACCAUGGACUAUUGCAGUCUGUCAGCAAUAGGUCGCAUAAACUAUUGCAGUUUGUCACUGAUAGACAUUAGACCCUAUAUCAGAUACUAGAAAUUAAUUAAUCAGGGAGGCCUUAUUGCAAAUCGCUUAGAGACUUUAUCCUCUGCAAUCUUGUCUAAAAGCGGUACACUGAGGAAGGAAGCUUAGCUAGGAACCUCUGUACAUUUACCCUUUGCAAAGCUUUCGGACAAGGUAAAUCUAUUUGCAUGGUUAUUCAACCUUCACCCAGUCUUGCUUUCGUCUCUUUCCAAACUCGAUGGAAAGGCCUGCCAUUAGCUGCUUGAAAGCGGCAGCUUAUUCUGUGUGCUCCACCAAAAUAUAUUUUCAGGUGUCCUUCUUUUUCUUUUUCUUUUUUUAUUUUUUAUUUUUUGGUCAUCUAAAUUAGCUUUUUAGACUUGAAAAGACCAAUUCACAAUGAAAGUUCAUUUAAAUAACAUUAAACAAAAAAGUUAAAACUCUAAAAUCCAUAUUAAACUAAAUCCGCAAGUAGCAAAAAUAAAAAAUAUGAUUGCAUGUUUUCCAGCUCAACACUAGUAAAGUGAAAGGGCCUCAAUCGCUACUAUUGUAGAAGGCUCACAUGCUUCAAAGCGGUUAAGGUUUCACAUUUCCUCUUCCUUUAAAUUUUUAAAGAGAAUGUUCCAUGGGGAAAUUCAGGUUCGUCGUCUUUUUGCAGAAACAUCAUGUAGCAAGACCUGUAUUGAGAGAAAUAGAUCUCAGCUUGAAAAAAUGUCGAUUAUAGCAGUGGAGGAAUCAAGGGUUCAUGAAGGUUGAUUGGAAAGACAUUCUCCAGGGGGAUUUAUCCUGUUGAUUGUUCGCUGAACUCUAUUUCCUCAACUCCAGCAGUAGCAGGUUGCUCUGACUGCUCGGAUGCCGCUGAAGAGGGUUGCCUUACCCCAGGACCUGAAGACACCUUGACCAUAGCUGGUCUUAAAAGUCGGUCCACAAGGAGAAAACCACGACGGAACUCUUCAAUUAUAACACCCUCCUUGAACUCUUCAGACUCCUCUUGGGCAAUAGCCUCGUGUAACUGAAUCACGAGAAAGAAUGCACAUGGUAAGUCACAUCACAAAAGAUGUAGUACUGCAUUUUCAUAGCAAGGAAACACUUAGUUCAACUAUCCCCAGCCAAUCAUGAUUUUAGUUUAACCUAGCUCAUCAACUUCCACGUAUACAAAGCAACUAGCACGUCAAUAGAUUUGCAGAUGCUAGCUUUCAACCAAAUGAAAGGGUCAAAAGAUCAAAGAGAGAUUUAUCCUGGAAAACAUAGCCUCAAAGUAGAGGCACCCCAGAUUUAAUUUAGCAGUAAACCAACAUGACAGAUUGCUAACACACCACACCUCUAAGUAUGUCGGUAUGUAUGUUUUUCUGUACUCUAUAUCUAGUAAGAUCAUUGUAUUAUAUGUAUUCUAUUUUUGGUCAAACAUUGUCAUAGAUAUGCAGACAGGUAAUUAGUGUUGGAACUAGUCUCAAGAAAAAUUCAGAUGAAACAAUAUGCAGAUGAUGCGGGGGUGCUUGAGCUUUUCUUUUUUGACAUUCCAGGCUGCUUGCACCACAGGAAAGAGUAAUGGCAGUUAUUCUGUCUUUUUGCAUCAGAAGAAUGUUUCUCAUAUUUGCCCCUAACAAGCUUGUCCCAUAAAAAAUGCAGUACAAGCAAACACAGUGCAUACACAGCCAAUAUUUGUCACUAAAAUCAUCAUGUGACUUUAUUAUCCAGAUUAUUCCUCAAAGUUACUUGCCAUGUUUUUAACACAGUAGGAAUAGAAAAAGCACAGGAAAGAAAAUCCAUAGCUUUACAGGUACAUAGUAACUACCAUGGAUGUUUCGAGGACUUGCAUAUGAAUGUAAACUACAGGUAAUUAUUAUCAUUAAUUUUAUGGCAACACUGCCAAAGACACCAAGAUGGGUAUGGAAUCGUUCAUUUAUGCUCAUAUCCAAGUAACAUGUCGAGAAAAUACAAUAUUGCAUGACUGACUAUUACUCUCUAAUAGUGCAUAGAAACAAAAAGAGUAUAAGAAGAGAAAAGAAAUGAGGUGUAGGGAUAUUACCACACCCAAAAGACAGUUUUUUCAACCAUGAAAGAGACUGCACCCUUCUUUCCCUCUUUUUUCUGUUCUAAGGUUCAUCAUUACCUUUAAUAUGCCCAAAACCUCAGAUUAAGUGUCGAAUACUGAUCCUAGUGUGAUGUCAUCUCUGACAUGGGUACUGCUUGGGGGAAGAAGAAUAUAUAAAAGAGACUACCAGGAUUUAGAAAAUGAAAAUAACAUUUGUAAAGGUAUUGAAGUUUCAAAUUGAGAAACAUAACAUUUACCAAGAACAAAAACUAAAAUUUCAGGUGAGCAAGGACCAGAUGAAUGCUGUGAGCAUCUAUGCAUCUAUUCUCUACUUUCACCCUUAACUUCAGUAACAAAUUAGCUGUGUAUCAUUCAUUAAGCAUAUUGUGCCACGUGUAAUGGAUCAUUCAUCUCACCAAUUAGGAUUGUCGUCCAAUUUCAAUCCCAAACACCUUUCCAUAAAUACAUUUAAGUUGCUAUAAGCAUAAAGACGAGGUUAAUGCUGAAUCACUUCUAAGCACAAGCUUUUCCUCCAUAUGCAUCAUCAUUUUAAUUAAAUAAGCAAUGCACCAUCUUUUGUAGAUGAACAGAAAAGAUGCUUUUAAAACCCUACAUGGCUGACAAAUUGGGCUGCACCAAAACUUAAUGCAUAGUAUUGGCUCCAGGUCUAAAUGGAACAUUUUUUUUUAAAAAAAAAACCUAAGAUCAUGUGGAACAUAGCGAUAAAUAAUAUGAUCACUGUGUACAGCAACUCAACAUCCAAUUGUUCUUGAGAAAAAUUUGCCGGACAGAGGUGGUGGUGCAAGUAAGAGGGGAAUUACCUUAACCCACGAUCUAAGUCUAGGCCUUUAGGGAAAACCAAGAGAAAACCUUGAAUAAGGGGCUAAUUUAUCACCAACCCCGAAUUUCUAUGAUAUUACCUAAAAGAAGACAGAGUUUCAUUAAAGAUCAAAAUCACAUCACAAACCCAGAAAGGCUAGAUUUAUAGUAGUCCAACUCCAAAGAAGAGCCUCUAUCUACUUAGUUUUCCAAAUGUUCCUUCCAAAAAUUUAACUUAUGCAAUGAGAUUGAGAACAAAAGAUAACAGCUAUUGAUGACGUAGAGAAGAGAAUGCAGCGAGAAAGAACAGUGGCAUCACUAGAUUUGGGCAUGUACAUUUGGAAAAACUUGAUUUGUUCUUGUUAGCAAAUCUGCAAAAUUUUCCUAAAUUGAUAGGUAGAAGAGAGGAUUGCAGUCAGCAGUGGAAAGGAGAGAGAGCACAUAAUGGAUUUGCUAGCAAGGAGUAAGUAGAGUCAGUGAAGGACAAAGGGGGAGAGGGAGAAAGUGAAAAGAAAUGAUUGAAUAAAUAAUUCUCCUAGAAGGUCACAAAUCAAAUUUGGGAACUGAGCAAAACCCUCCAGUUUGUUAGGGAUCAAGAAUUCCUGGUUUUUGGGGUUCAUCCCAAAAUUUUUGAAGCCCAUAGUUGUUAUCUGUAACGGAUUUAUUUCACUUCCUGAUUCCAAUUUCUCUUAGAUAAAUACUAAGAUCCAAAACCAACAAAUCAAUUAAGCCAUGAACAAUCUUGAACCCAAAAAAAAGAAAAAAACACACAGACAAUGCUAGAAGUAACUUAUAAGACCUAAAACACAGCACCACAACCACUUCCAGUGACUUGAUAUGCACAAAGAAAGUGUGGCCUAUCAGCUUUAUUACCAGGAUCGAUGAAUGAUUUCAGAGGGCACACCUUAACCUGAGGAGAUUUGUUGAUAAAAGUAUCUAAUUUACUCAAUGACCAUUUCCACAAGGGCGGGCAAAUCCUUGAUAAAUAGUUUGCCUUCAUAUUUUCUUUAGAAGGUUAGGCAAUAAGCAAAUCACAUGGUUGGAAAUUCUUGAUGACUUGGAUGCAAUCCAUGGGCUUUAAUUUGACACCUUUUCAAUUUCCAAUUGUAUCUCAACUGUCCUAACUGGCAUAUUGCUUGCUUUUCUCAUGUUUAUUUUUAGGUCACAAUCAUGGAGACAGGAAACCCCAUCUCUAAUUCUUCUGUUAAUAGUAAUGGAGGCUUUCAGUAAACAGCAGCAACUAACAUUGCAGACAACUAUUACAAAAAAGAUUCUAAGCUAGAAGAAUUACAAGUAAACACUGAAAGUUUCAGAUGAAUUUUCCAGUGACACUCAAUCUCUCGUCAGGCAGAUUAAAAGCAGUUUAUUGCCUUGAAAAUUUCGUUUUAUUUCAUGGUUCCAAGUGUUCAAAGAGUAGGGUAAACAAAGAAAUUUGAUCUCUGGAUGAGAGGUUCAUUGCAUAUGGAGAUUUAACACUAAGUUUGGGUUGGGACAUUGGGCCAAAUGUAACAAAGUAUUACGGGGUACAUUCGUGGUAAAUUUCAUUUUCUGGAAGCUGGAACAGAUGAUAGUUACCUAAACAAAGAAACUUACUCCCAGAUUUAUUAGGGAGGAAGAGACAAUAUUUGGCUUUUCUUUUGUGUGUGGGGGGGAAUACACCUUUUAAAAACUUUCGGCCUUCAUAAUGUAAAUACCCCUUAUUUUCAGAGAAAAGAAUUUCUUAUGGGUGGCAUUGCAAGUGGAAGGACAUUUCUGAUAAGUUGGAAGUAUGUCAGGCCAAUUAUAGGGCAGAUUAAUCAUUCUUGUUCUGAGAGUUGCAACUGAUGCUUGGUUACAAAAAGUUACCAAACAAAAUGCUACAUGGAGAAGCCCAACGGCCUGAAAGUUUAAGUUUUAAGAUGAAAACUGCUAUGAAAUGCUCCUUUACAAAAGAAUCGGAGAUUGACAGGAAUCAAGAAUUUCCAAACUUGUCUAUCUAAGAUAAAUCACUACUAUACAAAAAGCCUUUUCUUGGAAAUCAAGUAUGCCAAAGCACAUGAAUUCCAAACCUAUUCUUUAAAACUUUUAAUAGUUUGGGUGCUAUUGAUCAUGUUGCAGAAAUUGAGGCAAGAAUGACCUCUUGCAAAAAAAUAAACAACAGGAACUUACAAGACAAAAUGAAUCGUGUUCAGCAGCUAAUCUAGGACCUAAGGAACUUCAAUCUCAAAUUGCUAGCUCUCCGAGCUUCGUACUUUUAAUUUCAUCCAGUUGAGUAUUCUCAGCAUGAAAAAAAUCUCAGUCCAUAUGCAUUUUUUGUAGUAGCAUUGUAUUUCUCAAUUACAAUCAUGAAGAACAAUGCUAUUGUGUAUCUUUCCACAUGGAUGCAAACAUUCAACACCACAAAACAUUAGAUGGUAACUGUAAAACCUGACAAGUUCAACGCCAACUUUCUAGGUCUGAUCUUUCUUUUCCACAUUUUUUAUCCCUCAAGCUUGUCACCUCAAAAUUUAAGUGUCCAUCAUCACUCAACAGUCACAACCACAACAGCCUAUUUUCACUUUCUUGGUGCUGUAUUUCAGCUUCCAUUGCAGUUUAUAAAGUUGUCCUGAUUGGAGAGAAGGAAAUAGAGCUUUUGGGGGUGUACCAAGACAGUAUGAAUAUGAAAAUUAUACUGCCUUCACCCAAAACUGAAGGCCAUAGUUCGACUAAAGAGAAUAUGAAUAAAAAAAACUGAAUAACAUAAUAGCCCAAAGAGAGUGUGAACAGAAUACAGGAAUUCCAAUACAGAGUUAGCAAAAAACAUGUAGAUGAACCCUUUAAUCAUUUCUGUUAUACACAAAGAGUACAUCAAAUGAAGAAAUAUCAAAGAAAACAACAAUUCUUUUUGGGGAGGCCAAAACAAGAAAUCAGAAUUCGAAACACCAGGGAGUUUAUAAUUCUCCAUACUUUCUUGGAGUAGGCAAUCUUGUGAAUUCAUGGACGUAUAACAAAUAUACUUCCAAAACAGCCUACUUUUCUUGCAAAAAUGAUUGCAACCCAUAAUAGUGGUUCAGUUCUUAUAGGCUUGGUUUACAACCUGGCCAACUAUCAUAGUACUUCUAGGUGGAUAACUAAUCCAGUCAAACUAGGAUACCAGGUCCUGAUUUAAUAUGUAAGGGGAUCCAAUACUGUAUCUUCAUUACAGUUGCUCCAGCAUCAUUUCUUUCUCGUCGAGUCUCAGCCUGACGGCCUACUCAAGGGUUUCCCACCAAUAAUCAACUAAAUUUGGAAAACCAAAACUUCGCUAAAUUUCUAAGCAUUAGCACAUUUAUUCACCAAAAAUUAUUUAGCCCCUCAGACUAGAGGGUACGUUUGCUUAUCUGGGUUGAGGUCUCAGUUUUACCAUCUGCAUCAAAGUUUUGAAAGAGUUCAUAAGUGGCUAAAUCUGCCACCAACCAAUCAGUUAUAGAUCCUGCUGAAAGUAAGAAAAAAGAAAUCAGCAGGAAUGCUGGAAGCAAUAAGAGUGUUGGCUUACCAUAGGAUCAAAUAAUGUCCCAACAGUUGGUACAACAGAUACACCCAAGUUCUUCAUGAUUUCUACAAAUUGCUUGUAUAUGCCCUGAUAACUUGCAUCAAUUUUCUUUUCCUGCUCUGUCUCUAGUUUGAUAUGUUGCUUGGCUCGUUCAAAGUUAUCUACCAUAGGCAAGAGACUCUCAAUCACUUCUCCCUGGGCAUUACUCCUUAUUGUUAGCUUCUCAUUCUCUGUUCUCUUCCUGAAGUUGUCAAAAUCUGCUUGCAAACGAACAUACUUGUCCUUCUGAGCACCAAUUUCAUCUGACAAAACAGAAACCUUUUCUAACAACUCAUUCCUCUCCUUUUCUACCAUGUGUAUUAUCUCUUCAAAAUCGGAUAUACUUUUCUCAUCUCCAUUUAAAAUGGCCUCCUUAUAAGCUGAGAUAGUAGACUCCAAUCUUGAAGGAAGUUCUUGGUCCGCUUCCUCUUCUGUUUUACUGAGAGGAGUCUCAUCUUCAUCAUCAGUCUAUCAUGUAUCACAUUGAUAUUAUUAAGCAUGCAAUGGCAGCUAUAAAAGUACUCAAAAUUUCUACCAUUAUACAGAAAAUUUAUAUGGUUGAUGAAAAAUUACCAUUACUUGUUACCUUUGUAAAUGAACUGAACAUUGCAUGAGAUAAGAACCAAUAAUAGGUUCAAAACAGAGACACUGACAGAGGAAGCGAUCUCUAAACUUUGAAGUAUGAGACACACACUGUAAAGUAUACAGACAUGGUACACUAACUCUCUCUCUCUCUCUCUCUCUCUGUUUUGAUUCAUUGGUGGUGGUGUAAGGGGAACUCAACUUAACCUCGUCCCGUUUUAAUAGUUUUUGAAAAAAGAGACAAACAAAACUUCAUUUUUCAGCAGCAGCCUUGAAGCCAGCAAGAAACACUAUGAAUGAAAUACUUACUUACAAUUCCUGUCAAUAAGUUGAUUUAGUAAUUUCUCUGAAAGCAGACACCUUAAAGCAAAAUUGAUGAAAGAAAAGAUGUAUCUGUUCACUGUAUUUUGACCAAAUUCCAGCAGAUUUGCACAAUUUUUUAGAAUAAAAAAUCAACUAAAAUAACAACAUCUUUGUUCAUGUUUACAUAUCUAUACUUGAAAUUCAGCUUGUAAUUCCCCAAAAUCAAGCCUGCUUACCAAUAACCAAUAUCAAAAUUUAAUAAAUGAAUCUAAGAUACAUAAAGAAUCAAAAUUGGCUUCGACUAAACACACCAAGCCAAGAAAGAACAUCAGCCACAACUUCCAUCACGAGUUAAAAGCAACUAAACAAAAAAAAAAUUACUUCGGAAGCGGAGUCUUCGGAUUGUGACUGAGAAGCUUUAAGAAAUCGGCAUCUCCUGCUGCUGUUGUUAUUGAUUACCGGAAUGUUUGCAUUUUUGGGCAAACAAAAACAAAAGCCUCUGGAGGAAAUGGGUUUCAAGGGAAAAUGGGUUUGGAAAUAAUUUGAAGAAGAUGAAGGAAGGGAUGGGCGAUGAGGAGAAGCAUAUGAACAAAGAUAAGCUGUUGAAGCUGAAGCUGUUGGUGCCGCCGCCAUAGAAGUUUCUAGUAUUAUCACUGAAGAUUGAAAGGGAGGAGUCUGGUAAUUUCACACCAAGCGGAGGAAGAAGAAGGUGGAGUUGGUGUAGGGGUUUUGGGAUAAGAGAAAACGAUGUCGUUAAGUCAGAAAGCCGAAAACGACAAAAAAGAAUAAAAUAAAAACAAAAGGCCCAACUUAGCCUUAUUCUAGAUACAUCUUCACGCGUGUGCUGCAUUUUCUGGUCUCUCACUAGCGCCAAAACAGCUGCAUUUGAGUUGAGUUCAACAGUUGACAACUCGAAUUUUAACUAAAAUAUCGCUGAGUUUUUAGAAACCGAAUCGUGCUAGCUCGAUUUUAGUUUAACUUUUCUUUUUUGCCGUAACUGCACGUUUAACAUAACCUAACCUACUCUUACUUCUACCAGGGGAACCUACUCUAUAAGAUGGCUUAAUUGAGUCAGAAAACCUGACGAGAACUGAACAAUCAUUAAACUAAACGGAUGCACCACACACUCAAUGGAUUUUGAACUCUUAACCUCCCACCCCACAAUAAAUGCGAUGACCAAUUCCUCUUGAGGGAGUUUUAGUUUAACUUGAGUUCAUAAAAAUUCGAGAUCGAGCUAGAUCGAUUUUAGUUUUACUUGAGUUUGAACUUAAGUUAAUUGAGUUUGAUGAAAUCUAAUCAAGUUUAAUGGAGUCUAUUCAAUCUAAUCAAAUUCACCUAAUAAAAUGAUAUUUCGAUAUUUCGCUUGUAUUAUAAACACAUUUUUUAAUUUACUUUUUUCUAUUUUCAACCAUUUUUUUUAUCUCACGUACAUCAUAUCACAAAAAAUGUUACAGUAAUUAUUUCAAAUAAUACUCUAUCUUACAUAUAAUUUUAAACAAAGAAUAUAAUCGAUAUUUUACAAUAAUAAACAUAAAAAAUAAAAAUAAUAUAUAUGUGUGUGUAUGUGGGUGCAUGUGUGUGUGUGUCGGUUAGAUUUGUCAAGCUUACAAGUUUAGAAAUAUAAUACUCAAGCACGAUUUUUAAGUAUUUUGAAGUUGUUUAAACUUGACUCGAGUUUAGUCAAUGUCUAACUCAAGCCGGAUAGUUGAGUUAGUUACUCGCGAAUUUGAGUCUAAUAGCUUGAUCAACUCGCAGUCCUAGUUUACUGAACGACUACUUGACCCGUGAAAGGGAAAAGUGACCCGACCGGUAGUAUUGAUUGAACACAAAUUUGAACUGUAUCCAUCCGUAGUUAUAAAUCAAUAUGGGUGGGUAAGGGUCAAGUAUGCGCUCCAUGCAUCACUUGACCGAUGUCAGGAUAUGAAAUUGUUGAAUUGAGAUUAAUUGGGUAUAUUUCAAUUAAAGGUCAAAACGAUGUCGUUUGGGUUAGUAGUUAGUUAAAGUAGUUACUUAGCAAUUGCAGGUUGUUAAGUUUGUUAUAAGUAGAGGACCCACGCAUGAGAGAUACAGACUUUGUUUUUGGUAAUCAGAUGUAUUUCAAUUCCUCUUUCUAAAUUCUAUUUCUUCCCCAUUCUCUCUGAUUCUCUCCCUCUCUGCAAUCUUCAGCUCAUUUCCCAACUUAAUCCCCAAUCGUAACUCAGAUAUAAACAAUUGCACUUAAGUUCCUGACAAAUUGGUAUCAGAGCAAGAGAUCCUUGGAAAUUACCAUUAGCAAUGGCAGAAGGCACUAGAUUCCGGUCAUUGGAGGAGCAAGUUAAGAAACAAGAAAUCAAGCUGCAGGAAUUGGUAGAAUCUCUCCAUACAUCACAGUCGGAGCAGCAGCAAAUUAAAAAGGAAUUGAAACAGGAACUGGAGGAGAGUAGCAAACGGAUGGAAGGCCUAUUAUUAGGUAUGGAGCAGAAUUUUCUCAAAAUUUUGGAGCAAAAGCUGAACAAUCUUCUGCUAAGGACUCCUAUGAAGGAGAAGACUACUGAAGGGGAUGGAAGAUUGCCAGUAGAUCAGACGCCACUGUUACCAACUCCACCAGCUCACUGCAGGAUACAACCUGAAGGCGAAGCUCAGAAACUCUUCAAGAAGGACUGGAGUAAGUUUCAGAUUCCAAAUCCUCCUAAAAUUGAUUUACAGCUAUUUUCUGGAGAACAUCCUAGGGUUUGGCUGAGGAAAUGUAAUAAAUACUUUUUGAAUUAUCAAGUUCCACACGAGCAUAAAAUUGAAAUCAUUGAAAUGUAUCUGGAUGGCAAGGCUGACAAAUGGUUCCAAGGUGUAAAAAUUGAAAAGCCUAGAUUAGGAUGGGAGGAAUUUGAAGAUAUGUUAUGUAGGAGGUUUAAUGAUAGAUCGUGUAAGGAUAUAGUGGAAGAAUUCAAUAAACUGCAACAAGUAGGCAGUAUCGAGGACUAUCAGGAGAGAUUUGAGGAGCUGAAGCCUUUGAUGAUGAUCAAAAAUAGAAACCUGGAUGAAAACUAUUUUAUUUCCAGUUUCAUAAGUGGACUUAAGGAAGAAAUUAAGCCUGUGGUCAGGAUGCUGAAACCUGCCACACUAUCUGAAGCCUUCGAGCUAUCUCAAUGGCAAGAGCAAGUCAUAAGAAUCCAGAAUAAAAGCUCCAAGGAAAACACCAGGCCAAUGGGAGAAAACAAAUUUGGCAUAACCAGAAGUGCUAACACUUCUGUUGGAACAAAUUCUUACAAGGUCCCUGCCACUAGCAAUUUUAAGCACACUAAGUUUAGGAGUUCACCAGGGGAUACUAAGGAACCAGCAAAGUUGUCUGCUCAGGAGUUGCAGUAUAGGAGGAGUAAUGGAUUGUGUUUCAGGUGCGGAGAGAAGUAUGGAAUGGGACAUCAGUGUAGAGUGGGUCACUCAAAUUGUAUGACACUGGAAGAGGAGGAGGAUUCUGCAUUUGAGGAUGCCCUUGGAGAACAAGAUGAACAGACUGGGAAUCCUGGACAGGCCAUGGAAGUGUCACUGCAUGCUUUAUCUGAGGCUCUUAAGAGAAAAACUAUUACACUCUCUGGAAUCUUAGAUGGGGAGGAAGUACUGAUAUUGGUGGACACUGGGAGCUCAGACAGCUACAUUAGCAGUGAGCUUGUAAUUGGGAUGGACAUAGGCUAUCAGUGGGUGGAUCAACCAUUCUCUGUCAUAAUGGGGAAUGGAUCAUGUGUCACCAGCAAUGCAAUAUGCAAUGGGGUGCAGUGGAGGAUUAAUCAACACAACUUCAGGUAUAACCUCAAGGUAAUGGAACUGGGAGGUUGGGACAUAAUCCUAGGAGUGGACUGGAUGACACACUUCAGUCCCAUCACAUUCGACUUCCAACAACUCAGGAUAUCCCUGCACCAUGAAGGAGAUGAAAUCCAUCUACAUGGCCAAGCCGAUAACUGUGACAUGGAUUUGAUCAGGGGCAAGGACUUAAGAACAUUUAUAGAAUACAAGAAACAGAUGUGUAUGGCUAUGUGUGGCCAAUAGGAAAAAGACAGACAAGGGAAGUCAGAAACCACACCUCAAGAGGUAGAGGCCCUGCUACAGGACUAUAAGGAUGUCUUCCAGACUCCUAGCUCAUUACCCCCAAGUAGGAGCGUAGACCAUGAGAUUCCUCUCAAACAGGAGGCUCAGCCAUUCAAACUUAAGCCUUACAGAUAUCCUCACUGUCACAAGGAGGAGAUAGAGAGACAGGUUACUGAAAUGCUGCAGAAAGGUAUUGUGAAACACAGUAACAGCCCCUUUGCCUCCCCUGUACUACUAGUCAAGAAGAAGGAAGGCACCUGGAGGUUUUGUGUGGACUACAGGAAGCUGAAUGAGAUCACUAUUAAAGACAGAUUUCCAAUACCCAAUGUAGAUGAACUGUUGGAUGAGUUAUCAGGAGCUGUGUUCAAAACCAAGUUAGCAAUGGAGGCUUUCAGUAAACAGCAGCAACUAACAUUGCAGACAACUAUUACAAAAAAGAUUCUAAGCUAGAAGAAUUACAUGUAAACACUGAAAGUUUCAGAUGAAUUUUCCAGUGACACUCAAUCUCUCGUCAAGCUGAUUAAAAGCAGUAUUAUUGCCUUGAAAAUUUCGUUUUAUUUCAUGGUUCCAAGUGUUCAAAGAGUAGCGUAAGCAAAGAAAUUUGAUCUCUGGAUGAGAGGUUCAUUGCAUAUGGAGAUUUAACACUAAGUUUGGGUUGGGACAUUGGGCCAAAUGUAACAAAGUAUUACGGGGUACAUUCGUGGUAAAUUUCAUUUUCUGGAAGCUGGAACAGAUGAUAGUUACCUAAACAAAGAAACUUACUCCCAGAUUUAUUAUGGAGGAAGAGACAAUAUUUGGCUUUUCUUUUGGGUUGGGGGGGGAGGGGGGGGAAUACACCUAUUAAAAACUUUUGGCCUUCAUAAUGUAAAUACCCCUUAUUUUCAGAGAAAAGAAUUUCUUAUGGGUGGCAUUGCAAGUGGAAGGACAUUUCUGAUAAGUUGGAAGUAUGUCAGGCCAAUUAUAGAGAAGAUUAAUCAUUCUUGUUCUGAGAGUUGUAACUGAUGCUUGGUUACAAAAAGUUACCGAACAAAAUGCUACAUGGAGAAGCCCAACGGCCUAAAAGUUUAAGUUUUAAGAUGAAAACUGCUAUGAAAUGCUCCUUUACAAAUGAAUCGGAGAUUGACAGGAAUCAAGAAUUUCCAAACUUGUCUAUCUAAGAUAAAUCACUACUAUACAAAAAGCCUUUUCUUGGAAAUCAAGUAUGCCAAAGCACAUGAAUUCCAAACCUAUUCUUUAAAACUUUUAAUAGUUUGGGUGCUAUUGUUCAUGUUGCAGAAAUUGAGGCAAGAAUGACCUCUUGCAAAAAAAUAAACAAGAGGAACUUACAAGACAAAAUGAAUCGUGUUCAGCAGCUAAUCUAGGACCUAAGGAACUUCAAUCUCAAAUUGCUAGCUCUCCAAGCUUCGUACUUUUAAUUUCAUCCAGUUGAGUAUUCUCAGCAUGAAAAAUAUCUCAGUCCAUAUGCAUUUUUUGUAGUAGCUUUGUAUUUCUCAAUUACAAUCAUGAAGAACAAUGCUAUUGUGUAUCUUUCCACAUGGAUGCAAACAUUCAACACCACAAACCAUCAGAUGGUAACUGUAAAACUUGACAAGUUCAAUGCCAACUUUCUAGGUCUGAUCUUUCUUUUCCACAUUUUUUAUCCCUCAAGCUUGUCACCUCAAAAUUUAAGUGUCCACCAUCACUCAACAAUCACAACCACAACAGCCUAUUUUCACCUUCUUGGUGCUGUAUUUCAGCUUCCAUUGCAGUUUAUAAAGUUGUCCUGAUUGGAGAGAAGGAAAUAGAGCUUUUGGGGGUGUACCAAGACAGUAUGAAUAUGAAAAUUUUACUGCCUUCACCCAAAACUGAAGGCCAUAGUUCGACUAAAGAGAAUAUGAAUAAAAAAACUGAAUAACAUAAUAGCCCAAAGAGAGUGUGAACAGAAUACAGGAAUUCCAAUAGAGUUAGUGAAAAACAUGUAGAUGAACCCUUUAAUCAUUUCUGUUAUACACAAAGGAUACAUCAAAUGAAGAAAUAUCAAAGAAAACAACAAUUCUUUUUGGGGAGGCCAAAACAAGAAAUCAGAAUUCGAAACACCAGGGAGUUUAUAAUUCUCCAUACUUUCUUGGAGUAGGCAAUCUUGUGAAUUCAUGGACGUAUAACAAAUAUACUUCCAAAACAGCCUACUUUUCUUGCAAAAAUGAUUGCAACCCAUAAUAGUGGUUCAGUUCUUAUAGGCUUGGUUUACAUUGUUUUACAACCUGGCCAACUAUCAUAGUACUUCUAGGUGGAUAACUAAUCCAGUCAAACUAGGAUACCAGGUCCUGAUUUAAUAUGUAAGGGGAUCCAAUACUGUAUCUUCAUUACAGUUGCUCCAGCAUCAUUUCUUUCUCGUCGAGUCUCAGCCUGACGGCCUACUCAAGGGUUCCCCACCAAUAAUCAACUAAAUUUGGAAAACCAAAACUUCACUAAAUUUCUAAGCAUUAGCACAUUUAUUCACCAAAAAUUAUUUAGCCCCUCAGACUAGAGGGUACAUUUGCUUAUCUGGGUUGAGGUCUCAGUUUUACCAUCUGCAUCAAAGUUUUGAAAGAGUUCAUAAGUGGCUAAAUCUGCCACCAACCAAUCAGUUAUAGAUCCUGCUGAAAGUAAGAAAAAAGAAAUCAGCAGGAAUGCUGGAAGCAAUAAGAGUGUUGGCUUACCAUAGGAUCAAAUAAUGUCCCAACAGUUGGUACAACAGAUACACCCAAGUUCUUCAUGAUUUCUACAAAUUGCUUGUAUAUGCCCUGAUAACUUGCAUCAAUUUUCUUUUCCUGCUCUGUCUCUAGUUUCAUAUGUUGCUUGGCUCGUUCAAAGUUAUCUACCAUAGGCAAGAGACUCUCAAUCACUUCUCCCUGGGCAUUACUCCUUAUUGUUAGCUUCUCAUUCUCUGUUCUCUUCCUGAAGUUGUCAAAAUCUGCUUGCAAACGAACAUACUUGUCCUUCUGAGCACCAAUUUCAUCUGACAAAACAGAAACCUUUUCUAACAACUCAUUCCUCUCCUUUUCUACCAUGUGUAUUAUCUCUUCAAAAUCGGAUAUACUUUUCUCAUCUCCAUUUAAAAUGGCCUCCUUAUAAGCUGAGAUAGUAGACUCCAAUCUUGAAGGAAGUUCUUGGUCCGCUUCCUCUUCUGUUUUACUGAGAGGAGUCUCAUCUUCAUCAUCAGUCUAUCAUGUAUCACAUUGAUAUUAUUAAGCAUGCAAUGGCAGCUAUAAAAGUACUCAAAAUUUCUACCAUUAUACAGAAAAUUUAUAUGGUUGAUGAAAAAUUACCAUUACUUGUUACCUUUGUAAAUGAACUGAACAUUGCAUGAGAUAAGAACCAAUAAUAGGUUCAAAACAGAGACACUGACAGAGGAAGCGAUCUCUAAACUUUGAAGUAUGAGACACACACUGUAAAGUAUACAGACAUGGUACACUAACUCUCUCUCUCUCUCUCUCUCUCUGUUUUGAUUCAUUGGUGGUGGUGUAAGGGGAACUCAACUUAACCUCGUCCCGUUUUAAUAGUUUUUGAAAAAAGAGACAAACAAAACUUCAUUUUUCAGCAGCAGCCUUGAAGCCAGCAAGAAACACUAUGAAUGAAAUACUUACUUACAAUUCCUGUCAAUAAGUUGAUUUAGUAAUUUCUCUGAAAGCAGACACCUUAAAGCAAAAUUGAUGAAAGAAAAGAUGUAUCUGUUCACUGUAUUUUGACCAAAUUCCAGCAGAUUUGCACAAUUUUUUAGAAUAAAAAAUCAACUAAAAUAACAACAUCUUUGUUCAUGUUUACAUAUCUAUACUUGAAAUUCAGCUUGUAAUUCCCCAAAAUCAAGCCUGCUUACCAAUAACCAAUAUCAAAAUUUAAUAAAUGAAUCUAAGAUACAUAAAGAAUCAAAAUUGGCUUCGACUAAACACACCAAGCCAAGAAAGAACAUCAGCCACAACUUCCAUCACGAGUUAAAAGCAACUAAACAAAAAAAAAAUUACUUCGGAAGCGGAGUCUUCGGAUUGUGACUGAGAAGCUUUAAGAAAUCGGCAUCUCCUGCUGCUGUUGUUAUUGAUUACCGGAAUGUUUGCAUUUUUGGGCAAACAAAAACAAAAGCCUCUGGAGGAAAUGGGUUUCAAGGGAAAAUGGGUUUGGAAAUAAUUUGAAGAAGAUGAAGGAAGGGAUGGGCGAUGAGGAGAAGCAUAUGAACAAAGAUAAGCUGUUGAAGCUGAAGCUGUUGGUGCCGCCGCCAUAGAAGUUUCUAGUAUUAUCACUGAAGAUUGAAAGGGAGGAGUCUGGUAAUUUCACACCAAGCGGAGGAAGAAGAAGGUGGAGUUGGUGUAGGGGUUUUGGGAUAAGAGAAAACGAUGUCGUUAAGUCAGAAAGCCGAAAACGACAAAAAAGAAUAAAAUAAAAACAAAAGGCCCAACUUAGCCUUAUUCUAGAUACAUCUUCACGCGUGUGCUGCAUUUUCUGGUCUCUCACUAGCGCCAAAACAGCUGCAUUUGAGUUGAGUUCAACAGUUGACAACUCGAAUUUUAACUAAAAUAUCGCUGAGUUUUUAGAAACCGAAUCGUGCUAGCUCGAUUUUAGUUUAACUUUUCUUUUUUGCCGUAACUGCACGUUUAACAUAACCUAACCUACUCUUACUUCUACCAGGGGAACCUACUCUAUAAGAUGGCUUAAUUGAGUCAGAAAACCUGACGAGAACUGAACAAUCAUUAAACUAAACGGAUGCACCACACACUCAAUGGAUUUUGAACUCUUAACCUCCCACCCCACAAUAAAUGCGAUGACCAAUUCCUCUUGAGGGAGUUUUAGUUUAACUUGAGUUCAUAAAAAUUCGAGAUCGAGCUAGAUCGAUUUUAGUUUUACUUGAGUUUGAACUUAAGUUAAUUGAGUUUGAUGAAAUCUAAUCAAGUUUAAUGGAGUCUAUUCAAUCUAAUCAAAUUCACCUAAUAAAAUGAUAUUUCGAUAUUUCGCUUGUAUUAUAAACACAUUUUUUAAUUUACUUUUUUCUAUUUUCAACCAUUUUUUUUAUCUCACGUACAUCAUAUCACAAAAAAUGUUACAGUAAUUAUUUCAAAUAAUACUCUAUCUUACAUAUAAUUUUAAACAAAGAAUAUAAUCGAUAUUUUACAAUAAUAAACAUAAAAAAUAAAAAUAAUAUAUAUGUGUGUGUAUGUGGGUGCAUGUGUGUGUGUGUCGGUUAGAUUUGUCAAGCUUACAAGUUUAGAAAUAUAAUACUCAAGCACGAUUUUUAAGUAUUUUGAAGUUGUUUAAACUUGACUCGAGUUUAGUCAAUGUCUAACUCAAGCCGGAUAGUUGAGUUAGUUACUCGCGAAUUUGAGUCUAAUAGCUUGAUCAACUCGCAGUCCUAGUUUACUGAACGACUACUUGACCCGUGAAAGGGAAAAGUGACCCGACCGGUAGUAUUGAUUGAACACAAAUUUGAACUGUAUCCAUCCGUAGUUAUAAAUCAAUAUGGGUGGGUAAGGGUCAAGUAUGCGCUCCAUGCAUCACUUGACCGAUGUCAGGAUAUGAAAUUGUUGAAUUGAGAUUAAUUGGGUAUAUUUCAAUUAAAGGUCAAAACGAUGUCGUUUGGGUUAGUAGUUAGUUAAAGUAGUUACUUAGCAAUUGCAGGUUGUUAAGUUUGUUAUAAGUAGAGGACCCACGCAUGAGAGAUACAGACUUUGUUUUUGGUAAUCAGAUGUAUUUCAAUUCCUCUUUCUAAAUUCUAUUUCUUCCCCAUUCUCUCUGAUUCUCUCCCUCUCUGCAAUCUUCAGCUCAUUUCCCAACUUAAUCCCCAAUCGUAACUCAGAUAUAAACAAUUGCACUUAAGUUCCUGACAAAUUGGUAUCAGAGCAAGAGAUCCUUGGAAAUUACCAUUAGCAAUGGCAGAAGGCACUAGAUUCCGGUCAUUGGAGGAGCAAGUUAAGAAACAAGAAAUCAAGCUGCAGGAAUUGGUAGAAUCUCUCCAUACAUCACAGUCGGAGCAGCAGCAAAUUAAAAAGGAAUUGAAACAGGAACUGGAGGAGAGUAGCAAACGGAUGGAAGGCCUAUUAUUAGGUAUGGAGCAGAAUUUUCUCAAAAUUUUGGAGCAAAAGCUGAACAAUCUUCUGCUAAGGACUCCUAUGAAGGAGAAGACUACUGAAGGGGAUGGAAGAUUGCCAGUAGAUCAGACGCCACUGUUACCAACUCCACCAGCUCACUGCAGGAUACAACCUGAAGGCGAAGCUCAGAAACUCUUCAAGAAGGACUGGAGUAAGUUUCAGAUUCCAAAUCCUCCUAAAAUUGAUUUACAGCUAUUUUCUGGAGAACAUCCUAGGGUUUGGCUGAGGAAAUGUAAUAAAUACUUUUUGAAUUAUCAAGUUCCACACGAGCAUAAAAUUGAAAUCAUUGAAAUGUAUCUGGAUGGCAAGGCUGACAAAUGGUUCCAAGGUGUAAAAAUUGAAAAGCCUAGAUUAGGAUGGGAGGAAUUUGAAGAUAUGUUAUGUAGGAGGUUUAAUGAUAGAUCGUGUAAGGAUAUAGUGGAAGAAUUCAAUAAACUGCAACAAGUAGGCAGUAUCGAGGACUAUCAGGAGAGAUUUGAGGAGCUGAAGCCUUUGAUGAUGAUCAAAAAUAGAAACCUGGAUGAAAACUAUUUUAUUUCCAGUUUCAUAAGUGGACUUAAGGAAGAAAUUAAGCCUGUGGUCAGGAUGCUGAAACCUGCCACACUAUCUGAAGCCUUCGAGCUAUCUCAAUGGCAAGAGCAAGUCAUAAGAAUCCAGAAUAAAAGCUCCAAGGAAAACACCAGGCCAAUGGGAGAAAACAAAUUUGGCAUAACCAGAAGUGCUAACACUUCUGUUGGAACAAAUUCUUACAAGGUCCCUGCCACUAGCAAUUUUAAGCACACUAAGUUUAGGAGUUCACCAGGGGAUACUAAGGAACCAGCAAAGUUGUCUGCUCAGGAGUUGCAGUAUAGGAGGAGUAAUGGAUUGUGUUUCAGGUGCGGAGAGAAGUAUGGAAUGGGACAUCAGUGUAGAGUGGGUCACUCAAAUUGUAUGACACUGGAAGAGGAGGAGGAUUCUGCAUUUGAGGAUGCCCUUGGAGAACAAGAUGAACAGACUGGGAAUCUUGGACAGGCCAUGGAAGUGUCACUGCAUGCUUUAUCUGAGGCUCUUAAGAGAAAAACUAUUACACUCUCUGGAAUCUUAGAUGGGGAGGAAGUACUGAUAUUGGUGGACACUGGGAGCUCAGACAGCUACAUUAGCAGUGAGCUUGUAAUUGGGAUGGACAUAGGCUAUCAGUGGGUGGAUCAACCAUUCUCUGUCAUAAUGGGGAAUGGAUCAUGUGUCACCAGCAAUGCAAUAUGCAAUGGGGUGCAGUGGAGGAUUAAUCAACACAACUUCAGGUAUAACCUCAAGGUAAUGGAACUGGGAGGUUGGGACAUAAUCCUAGGAGUGGACUGGAUGACACACUUCAGUCCCAUCACAUUCGACUUCCAACAACUCAGGAUAUCCCUGCACCAUGAAGGAGAUGAAAUCCAUCUACAUGGCCAAGCCGAUAACUGUGACAUGGAUUUGAUCAGGGGCAAGGACUUAAGAACAUUUAUAGAAUACAAGAAACAGAUGUGUAUGGCUAUGUGUGGCCAACAGGAAAAAGACAGACAAGGGAAGUCAGAAACCACACCUCAAGAGGUAGAGGCCCUGCUACAGGACUAUAAGGAUGUCUUUCAGACUCCUAGCUCAUUACCCCCAAGUAGGAGCGUAGACCAUGAGAUUCCUCUCAAACAGGAGGCUCAGCCAUUCAAACUUAAGCCUUACAGAUAUCCUCACUGUCACAAGGAGGAGAUAGAGAGACAGGUUACUGAAAUGCUGCAGAAAGGUAUUGUGAAACACAGUAACAGCCCCUUUGCCUCCCCUGUACUACUAGUCAAGAAGAAGGAAGGCACCUGGAGGUUUUGUGUGGACUACAGGAAGCUGAAUGAGAUCACUAUUAAAGACAGAUUUCCAAUACCCAAUGUAGAUGAACUGUUGGAUGAGUUAUCAGGAGCUGUGUUCAAAACCAAGUUAGGAAGCUUACAACAAUAACAAAAAAUAAAAUAAUUUUAAAAUGUAAAAAUAUGAAAAUAUGAGCAUUUAUAAAUACAAUAACAAGUAAUUUUGUAGAAAUACAUAACUACUCCUAUUAUUUAGCACAACAAAUGAUGUUUUAACUAUAUAUAUAUAUAUAUGUAUGUAUGUAUAUGUAUGUAUUUCUAGAUACAUAUUUGGUCAUUAGAUCAUUUCUUGAUUUUUAAAAUUUUGACUUAUUUAUAAAUUUUUUUCUAUAAGUAGGAUUUAUAUUACAAACCACACGUAUGAAGAGAUUAUUUUAAUUUUAGUAACACUUAAAUUAUAUCAUGUAUUAAAAAAAUAUUUUCUAAUAAAAUUUCUUGACUUAUAAUUGUCUAACUAAAAUUUUCAAGGUGUUAAUUACUUACCAAAAUCUUUCUAAAUGGUUGAUUUUGACUAGAUUUAAUUUAUCCAUGUUUUUUCCUAUCCCACAACUACCUUGAUACAAAGAAAUAUGGACCAAUAUUGGAUAGUGAUUUGGUUAUUUUUUAUCUAUAAUUUUUGGUUUAAAAAUUUUCGUUUUGUUUGGUUUUUUGUUAAAUAGUGAUUAAGAGUGCAAGGAUAAUAUUGUCAAUUUGUGACUUUUGAUAAGGAUAUUUAGUCUUGUCAAACUGAUAGGGAAGGUAAGUGAAAUUUAAAAACCUUAAGAGAGUUGAGUGAUAUUGUGAAAAACCUCAAGAAAGGUUUUUGAAAUUAUCCCCUAGAUUUGUAGAAACCAUUUAGAGUAAGCGUCAAUUCCAGUUUUGCUCACCAUUGGCUUCACUGCCACAUCCUAUGGUAGUUCAAUAGUAGCUAUAAUUUUAUAGGGUUUUUUUAUCACUUUUUUCUCUUAUUUUUUGUCUCCUAUAAAUAGAAUAUCAAGAAGCAUUGAAAGUAUCAUUAAGAAGGUUACAAACAAUGUAGUUGUUAACUAAAAUAUAUAUAUAUUUAUUUAAAAAUCUAGUGUAGGAUUAGUGUAGAAUUUAUUUGUUUUUGCAAUUAAAAUUUGGGAAAGAGUUGAAAAUUCAAUGAAAUGGAGCUUUUCUUCGGUAUUUUGGCAUUAGAACUUCUUUCCUUUACUCUUUAUUUCUUGGUAUUCGAAUUCAAUGUUUAGUUUUAAAGUAAAUUUGUGUUUCUUUUCAUUUUAUUAUGAGUUACUAAAUUUUAUUCACUAGGGUUAGGAUGAAGUUUCUUCUUUGUUAGAUGAAUUCAACCUGGUUAGUUUUACUAUAGUUUGUAUAAGCUAUUAAUACAUUUGUUUUUAUAAUUACAGUGAACAAACCAUUAUUUGUAAUCGAUUGUAAUUCCUAGUUUGUAAAAGCACUAAAUCGAAGUUGUAGACUCAUGAAAAUAAAUACACAUUUGUGGCUCAAAACAGGCAAUUUCACGAAAGCUAAUGAACUUGUAGCAAGUUUUAUACCACGAAAGUAUGGAGUUGUAUAAUAGAUAUGUGGGUACACUAGCAAAAGUAGAUAUCUCAUACGUUAAGAGAUUAUGUCAUUGUUUAGCCAACAAAUGAAAACUCAAUUUGGCAGUUUAUUGUUAUUUUUUCUACCAUUUUUUAUAUGUUUUGUAAUUUAGAUUAAUUUACUCGCUAUUAUCAUCAGUCUAAUUAAUAGAAGAGUUACAUCAAUGAAUUGAUUAAUUUUUCUUGUUAGAUCGACACUCAAAUUCUCUUGCUAACUUGUGUACUUGUAGAAGAAAAAGUCAAGUUUAAAUAAACUUUAUACCAAGUUUCUGGCAUGUAUUGCCAGGAAAGAAGCCAAUCAAUGUCAAUAUUAAGCACAUAUUUUAUUAGUUUAGACACUUUAAUUCUUGUUUCUAGUGUUUUAAAUAUCUAGGAUAGUGUGUUAUCGGUUUCAUUUCGUGUUUUUAAUUAAUUUUAUUUGCAAUACUUAGUUACUAUCUAUUUUCUUGACUAAUUGUGCUUUUGAAAUAGAAUUAAAGAAAAUUUUAGGAGUUGAAGGAAGAUAUUUCAAGAAAAGCAGAAAAGUUAUGAGAGAAGGAAGAUCAAUACUACUUCUAAUGCACCAAUAGAAGAGAUAACCAAAGAAGUGCUCCGAGUAUACUUGAUUCAGAUGAAAUUAUAUUAUUAAAAACUAAAUUGGACAAUUUGAUGCGCAUGAUUGAACAAAAUUGGAAAGUAAUGUCCUUUCAAAUUAUAGAACUUCUACUUUAUGUGGUGGAUAGCAUGCUACUUAUGAAUGUAUGCAAGUAUAAUAUAUGGAUCAUUUUGAUGAAUUUCAGUAAUAUAAUUCCCAUUUUAGUCAAAGUAAUCUUGGUUGCAUGAAAUAUUUUAAUUUUGAAUUAAGGAAUCAAUGUAACUAUGGUGAAUCUAUUACUUUCCCUAUUUUCUAAUUGGAAUUUGUGCAAAAUGAAUCUACAUUAUCUUAGGAGUUAGCCAUUAAACAGCUAGCAAAUGUGACUUCUAAACACUUUGAGAAAUGCAACAAUAAUUAGAUAGAAUUGAAUAAAGGAUAAAUCAAAUCACUUUGAACCUCAAAGUAAUGGUUGAACUAUUAGAUAAGUUAAUGAAUGCUAUACAUGAAGUUAAUUCACCUAGUAAAAUUAAAAUCAACUGCAGAUGGAAUAGUAAAGUUGUCACAUAGGAAAGUGAAUUGCACUUUGAAGAAAUGAUGAACAUAAUUGAAACUAUAAUGAGAACAUUUUCGCUUCACUAGAUAAUGUCUUGGAAGUUGGACCUUGAACAUCAAUAGAUAACUAUUAACAAUUAUUUUUAAACCUAAGUUCAAAAGACAUCAUCAAUCAAGCUAAACCUAUUGGAUUUUUUUAGUGAGUUCUCAUGUAAUACACAAAAGAGAUACUGUCAAAGAAACACUUGAAAGAGGUAAAACACUUCCGCCUCUCUCACUAUUUGAUUAUAUGGCUCUUAAAAUUAAACCACCUUUUGAGCUACUGAGGUGGAUAAAUAUUCUUCCUUUCAACUUAAUGGCUAUAUAUUAUGUAAGAAAUAAUCCAUUCAUGGUAGAUAGAAGUGGAUUGGAGUUGCUUUUUGUUGCCUUACCAUGACUUAAAAUAGUGAAUUAUUCCUUCAAGAAAUCUCCUUGAAAUAUGGAAGUAUAGUCAAGUUAAUAACUAGAAAGAAGCACAUGUUAGGAGCCACCUAAUAUUAUUUCCAUUUCAUUUCCAUAGCUUUUGCUUUAGUUACUUUUUUUUUUGGGUGUGUAAUAAUUGGGUUAUGGUACUUUGAUAUCUUGUCAUUUAUUUUGAUGCCUCUUUAAUGAAUUUGCCAAGUUUGUCUAUCUUCAUUUGUGUAAGAGCAAGUUGAAUGUUCAUCAUAGGAUAACAAUCAAACUUUACCACAUUAAUGCUGACUCAUGUUAACAUAUAGUGGGAGUAUCUCAUGCUAAUUUGUUUCAUGUCUAUCUGUGUUAAAGAUAAUUUGAAACUUAGGAGUGAAGAACGUGUUUUGAGUUGAAACUUGAUACUUUCCUAUUUGUUGAUAUGAGCUCAUGAGCAGGACAUCUUGAGAUUGUGAUUGUGUGAUAGGUUAUAAUUUGUUACUACAUUUAUAAUUAUUUUUCCCUUUGAUUUUAGCCAAAUAUUAUAUUAAUUGACGAAUUCUACUUAUAUUUGGUUAAUGGUGCUAAUUGUAGGAAAAUAAUCAAAACAUGAUUAAAAGGGACAAUUUCCAGCUAAUUUAGUAGUGGCACAUUCAAGUUCAGAAGAUUUAGGAUUAGAAGUUUCCAAGUCCGAGUAGAAGUCAACAAGAGCACGAGGUUGAAGAUUGGGAGAAUUUCUUUAAUAGUUAUUUUUAUAUUUUUAGGAAACGAUUCACAUUAUCUUCAGCAACUUUUCCUUUUCAAUUAGGAGAUUUCCUAGCUUGAUUGGUGCGGAUGAAGAGCAAAGUGGAGUCAAAGUGGGGCUCUUUCCUCUAGUCUUCAUAUGGCCGUAUAAGACAAGGAAACAAUUAAAAGAAAAAGGAAGUAGACUUAGCUUAGGAGAUUGAUUCCUUUCUUUUAGCGGGUUGGCCUUGUUGUUUUUCUUGGUCCGUCUCUUCUAUUAGUACGACGGAGAACAUAGCUUUGUUUGCGGGAAUGACUUCUGCAAUUUUGCAUGGAAUUUCCUCCAUGAAGAUGAAAUAACUUCUUUUUCUAGUCAAGGGUUAAUUUGAAGACGCGGUUUCAAAUAUCUAUGAGAUCGAAUUAUUUUACUUAUUUCUUUUAUUCAUUAGUAUUCGUACGUUUUCUAGUUUAAUUGCUUAUGAUUGUUUUGUUAUUUGAAUAUCAAGGGCCCGAUAUUUGAAUUAACCUAAUAAUCUACUGUCAUAUUAAUUGAUUGAAUCCGUAAUUAUUCAGUUGGUUAAUACCAGUGGUGACUAAUGUGAUUGGUUUCAUGUUAGGGAAACGUAUGAUCUAACUUAAACAGACUCUCGUAGCGUGUUUGUUGGUUUGGUUUAGAUUUUUCUAAUUCUUAUUGCAAUCGAGAAAUUAAAUCCUAUGGUCGUACUUAGGGUUGUCUCUUGGUUAGAGAAAUAGUCAACGGUCUUACCUUGACUAUCAAACAAGUAAGGAAAUGCUGGUUGUUUAUCGCGUGUAUGACAACUAUAACCAAUCUAUUAAUGAGUAAUUGAAUUAUCUCUGCAUCGAUGAUCAGUUGAAUGGACCGUAUCUGAAAAGUUACACAUUUGACUAGAGUCAUAUUGGUUGUUGAUUAAUUCCUGUUUAUUUCUAUUAGUUAUUUUAUUAGUUGGUUAAUUAGUCAUUUUAUAUUUUUCAAAAAUCCCCCAUCUCUGGACUCUAAAAGAAAUAAGUUAUCCCCAAUCUCUGUGGAUUCGACCCUACUCACCGCUAUAUACAAAAUUUAUAUUUUUCUCGAGAAGGUAUUUAUUAUUGUACAGGCUCGACAGCCUAUCAUUGUGUGAACUUAAAAUUUUUUUUAUUUUGAGAAUGGUACUGUAUUAUAAAGUUUGUCAUGCCGAGAUUUCUUUGAGUUAAUGAAAUCUAUUGUUCAUAUUAUAUUUAUGUGAGUUGGGACUAGAAUAAUUGAUGAAUACAAGACUUUUUUUAGUGAUUGUCUCUUUUGUUCUAGGUUUUUUUUCCAAGGAUUAAGUAAAGUAGUUUUCUCUUUUGCAAGAGAAAAAAAGGAAGAAAAAGAAAUAAAAUGUGUGUUUCAAUAAAGAGCAUUCUUAUAAAAGUACUUAGUCACCAGCGAUUUUCAUCUAUUAAUGUCGACUUUGAUAUAAAAUAGUAAAAUUGAAGGUAUGUAAAGCAACUAGAGUUUGUAAUUUGAUUGGGUAAUUGAGGGCAUUUAUCCACUAAUGUUUACUUUCACGUCAAAAUACAGGUUCAUUACUUAAGUACGAUUUAACAAGAAAAGAAAAGAAAGGAUGAAAAGUGAAAAAAGCAGGAAUUUUCUCCGAGUUUUCUAACCUUGUUUGUAUUAGUUAUAAGGUGUGGUUUCAAAUUAAGUUUUUACAUUUGUUGAUUAUAAUAGUUACAUGAGAAGCAUAAUUAGAUUAAAGAUAAUAUAUGAUAUAGAUUUGAUCAAAUAUUAAGAUGAUAAACUUUUCUUUAUUUGAUAUUAUAAAGUACUAAAAUUAGAAUUUAAAGUUUGAAUGAUGAUUAUCUUUGAUGUAGAACGAGGACCCCGUGGGCUUAGGCAUCCAUCAUCCCCAUCUUAAGAAAUUAUUUAGAGUCGAAUUUAGGAUAAAUGUUAUAAUAUAGUUUUAUUCAUAGUUUACCUAUUUUAAAUGCGGAUUUUAUUAUUAUUAUUGCCUGUCAUCAGGAUGCGUGAUAGUUGGCCAAAAGAAAAUUGUUUCGAGGCAUUAUUAUUGAAGAUUUGCAGACGGAUUCUCAGUAGAGCCUCGUGGAUCUAUCCGUAAGUCAUUUUCGGAAACUAAUUCCAAUGAUGUCGGGCGCCGAACAUUGGGUCGGACAUUGUCCGGGCUUUGGGGGCGGUUGAACACAACUCCAGUUCAUUUAGAGUUUUUCUUGUGUUUUUUGUUUCCUUGUUGGGGUAGGACAUUUUAACCUAUAAAUAGGCAUACCUAGGAUUUUUGUAAUAUGAAUUUUCUCUUAUUAAUCAAAUAUUGGUUGGUUUUAUCCAAUUGUUGAGAAUUUCCUUUUGUCUCUUUCGAAUAUUUGAUUUGUGUCUUGGAGUUUGAUCGUGAAUCGAUCGCCCUUGUUCUUUUCUAUAAAUUUCGUUCAUGAAUCAAAUUCUAUUUUUACGCUUCUGCUAUCGCAUCAAUCGCUUUCAUGCCUUAAACAUGAGUUUGAAUAUGUUGACACUUCAAUACUUUUAUUUGUUUACUUUGGUUUGUUUUUCUUUUCUUGCCUGCAAAAUAGGAAAUGAUUCAAGUGUCACAUUACUUGUUUAGUGAGGAUAACAUAUGUGCUUUGGUAUAUAUUUGUGGCUGUUUUAGUGUCAUUUUAGCUGAUAAAAUAUCGAGCCAAGUUUUUGGUUGAUUUACCAUCUGGAAUGUUGAGUAAAAAAAACACUUCUAUUGGUUUAGUUUCUGAGAUCUUAUAUAUUGAAGUGCUGUGGGAAGUCAAAACACAUUGGAAUGAAGAUUGAAAAAUCUUUGCAUGUUUAUGUGAAGAAUUUGAUGUGCUUUUAAUUAGACACGAAGUGAAACCAAGAAGAAAUGAAGCAAAAUUAAGAACGAACAAGAAAAGAGGCAAUAAAAGGAAGUCCACGGUUUAGCCGGCUAGAAAAAAGACUACACUAGCUUGACUGCCUGGCUGCAACUAGAUUCUUCAAGCUUGCAGAAACCAGCCAGAGUCGGCGUCGGUACCAGUUUUGCUCAUCAUCAUCGGCUUCCCGGCCAGUUUCUAUGGCGGUUAAGGUUUCUUCCUAGCGUUUUCCUCAAAUUUUCUCCUAAUUUUGGUGAAAUUGAAAUUUUUCCACACUAUCUAUAGCAACUUUGAAUUGAAUUGUGAACCAUAUCUUGAGAAUAUUUAUUUAAACCUACUUUUGGCCAGUAGAUGAAACCUAUGAUUUACCAUUACAUAGAGAGAAUUCUAACCUGCAUAUGAGAUACAUGUUUACUCUGCAAUCUAUUUAAACCCUUAUAAGAAGUUAUCAUCAUGUAUGAAUUUCUGACCUAUAAACGUGAACUUGUCUUCAAUUUUUUCAGCUAGAAAUCAUCAACAGCUUGUCAUUUUUGCUUCUUACAAACUUAAUAGAAUUUCCAAGCUCUCGAUAUGAUGCCUGGUUGUUUGUGUGACAAUUACUUACAUUUUCCUCUGUUCAUUUAUAGUCGCCUUAACCAAAAUUUGCUUGGCAAGUUUCCCUUGAUUCCAAAAUCAUGGAGUCUUCCCCUUCUUCCACUAUUUCCAUUUAUUACUAAAAGUUUUUUUUUCUUUUUUUUUUGUCAUAACGGCAUAUCUAGCAUAGUCUAAUCCACUUCUACUCUUGGGGGAACCUAUUCUACGGGGUGGCUCAACUGAAUUGGGGAAACCUGACGGGAACUGAACUACUAUCAGACCAGACGGGUGCAUCACACACCCGUAUAGAUUUAGAACAAAUCUCAUAUUGAGACACAUUGAUGGGAGGCAAGAUUUGAACCCUUAGACUAUCCACUCCAUAAUUAAUGUGGUGGCCAACUCCUCUAGAGGGAGUUGGUUUUAGGUCAAUUUAUUACUAAAAGUUUGUUUUAGGUCAAUUUGCAGCAUCUAUACUAUCCUAAUCUAUAAAGAAGGAAAAUCUAAUUGAGUUGUAUAGGGAUUAUAUAGAAGACAGACCAAUCUAGACCAAAAAGGCAAUCUGGCACAUCCUUUAAAUUUUUUAACUAAAAGGGUGCGAAGCUUGAACCUCCAAUCUACGACCCAAAAUGGGAUUUUUAAUCCAAAUUGACGUAUACCAAGCUGCCUGCGGCACCUGUUGCAAAAUCAGCCAUAUCUAUCCUUCCUACCAUUAGUUACAUAAAAAGGUUCAGGUAGACAGAUUCCAUGUUUAAACAGUAAAGCAAACAGAUGUGAUAAUGAAUAUGUUGUGCUACCAUGGACCAUUGCAGUCUGUCAGGAAUAGGUCGCAUAAACUAUUGCAGUUUGUCACUGAUAGACAUUAGACCCUAUAUCAGACACUAGGAAUUAAUUAAUCAGGGAGGCCUUAUUGCAAAUCGCUUAGAGACUUUAUCCUCUGCAGUCUUGUCUAAAAGCGGUACACUGAGGAAGGAAGCGACAGCACCUCUCACCAGUAAAAUCUUGAGGUCACAAGUUCGAGUCUCCGUUUCGCUGGAUUUCUCCGCGCACUUAACGUGUUCGGGCCGGAUUAGGGCGCCGGGCCCGGACCGCAGAGAAUUAGUCAGACCCCGUAAGGAUUGACCCAAACACCCCUGUGUUGACCAAAAAAAAAAAAAAAAAAAAGGAAGGAAGCUUAGCUAGGAACCUCUGUACAUUUACCCUUUGCAAAGCUUUCGGACAAGGUAAAUUUAUUUGCACGGUUAGUCUACCUUUACCCACUCUUGCUUUCGUCUCUUUCCAAACUCGAUGGAAAGGCCUGCCAUUAGCUGCUUGAAAGCGGCAGCUUAUUCUGUGCUCCACCAAAAUAUAUUUUCAGGUGUCCUUCUUUUUCUUUUUUAUUUUUUAUUUUUUGGUCAUCUAAAUUAGCUUUUUAGACUUGAAAAGACCAAUUCACAAUGAAAGUUCAUUUAAAUAACAUUAAACAAAAAAGUUAAAACUCUAAAAUCCAUAUUAAACUAAAUCCGCAAGUAGCAAAAAUAAAAAAUAUGAUUGCAUGUUUUCCAGCUCAACACUAGUACAGUGAAAGGGCCUCAAUCGCUACUAUUGUAGAAGGCUCACAUGCUUCAAAGCGGUUAAGGUUUCACAUUUCCUCUUCCUUUAAAUUUUUAAAGAGAAUGUUCCAUGGGGAAAUUCAGGUUCGUCGUCUUUUUGCAGAAACAUCAUGUAGCAAGACCUGUAUUGAGAGAAAUAGAUCUCAGCUUGAAAAAAUGUCGAUUAUAGCAGUGGAGGAAUCAAGGGUUCAUGAAGGUUGAUUGGAAAGACAUUCUCCAGGGGGAUUUAUCCUGUUGAUUGUUCGCUGAACUCUAUUUCCUCAACUCCAGCAGUAGCAGGUUGCUCUGACUGCUCGGAUGCCGCUGAAGAGGGUUGCCUU
rnacentral:lncRNA from 1 species